AAAGGUAAGCUACUAAGAGCGAAUGGUGGAUGCCUUGACUGGUAAAGGCGAUGAAGGACGUACUAGACUGCGAUAAGCUACGGGGAGCUGUCAAGAAGCUUUGAUCCGUAGAUUUCCGAAUGGGGCAACCCAAUGUAUAGAGAUAUACAUUACCUAUAUAGGAGCGAACGAGGGGAAUUGAAACAUCUUAGUACCCUCAGGAAAAGAAAUCAAUAGAGAUUGCGUCAGUAGCGGCGAGCGAAAGCGCAAGAGGGCAAACCCAGUGCUUGCACUGGGGGUUGUAGGACUGCAAUGUGCAAGAGGUGAGUUUAGCAGAACAUUCUGGAAAGUAUAGCCAUAGAGGGUGAUAGUCCCGUAUGCGAAAAACAAACCUUAGCUAGCAGUAUCCUGAGUAGGGCGGGACACGAGAAAUCCUGUCUGAAGCUGGGUCGACCACGAUCCAACCCUAAAUACUAAUACCAGAUCGAUAGUGCACAAGUACCGUGAGGGAAAGGUGAAAAGAACUGAGGUGAUCAGAGUGAAAUAGAACCUGAAACCAUUUGCUUACAAUCAUUCAGAGCCCUAUGUAGCAAUACAGGGUGAUGGACUGCCUUUUGCAUAAUGAGCCUGCGAGUUGUGGUGUCUGGCAAGGUUAAGCAAACGCGAAGCCGUAGCGAAAGCGAGUCUGAAUAGGGCGCUUAGUCAGAUGCUGCAGACCCGAAACGAAGUGAUCUAUCCAUGAGCAAGUUGAAGCUAGUGUAAGAACUAGUGGAGGACUGAACCCAUAGGCGUUGAAAAGCCCCGGGAUGACUUGUGGAUAGGGGUGAAAGGCCAAUCAAACUUCGUGAUAGCUGGUUCUCUCCGAAAUAUAUUUAGGUAUAGCGUUGUGUCGUAAUAUAAGGGGGUAGAGCACUGAAUGGG
rnacentral:rRNA from 1 species